rnacentral:rRNA from 1 species
AGUGAACGCUGGCGGUAGGCCUAACACAUGCAAGUCGAACGGCAGCACAGUAAGAGCUUGCUCUUACGGGUGGCGAGUGGCGGACGGGUGAGGAAUACAUCGGAAUCUACUUUUUCGUGGGGGAUAACGUAGGGAGACUUACGCUAAUACCGCAUACGACCUACGGGUGAAUGCAGGGGAUCUUCGGACCUUGCGAGCUCGAAUGAGUGGAUGUCGGAUUAGCUAGUUGGCGGGGUAAAGGCCCACCAAGGAGACGAUCCGUAGCUGGUCUGAGAGGAUGAUCAGCCACACUGGAACUGAGACACGGUCCAGACUCCUACGGGAGGCAGCAGUGGGGAAUAUUGGACAAUGGGCGCAAGCCUGAUCCAGCCAUACCGCGUGGGUGAAGAAGGCCUUCGGGUUGUAAAGCCCUUUUGUUGGGAAAGAAAAGCAGCAGGUUAAUACCCCGCUGUUCUGACGGUACCCAAAGAAUAAGCACCGGCUAACUUCGUG